rnacentral:rRNA from 1 species
GGCGUGAGUAUGGGGGGACCUGAUCAGCCAUGCCGCGUGUGUGAAGAAGGCCUUAUGGUUGUAAAGCACUUUAAGCGAGGAGGAGGCUACUAGUAUUAAUACUACUGGAUAGUGGACGUUACUCGCAGAAUAAGCACCGGCUAACUCUGUGCCAGCAGCCGCGGUAAUACAGAGGGUGCGAGCGUUAAUCGGAUUUACUGGGCGUAAAGCGUGCGUAGGCGGCCAUUUAAGUCAAAUGUGAAAUCCCCGAGCUUAACUUGGGAAUUGCAUUCGAUACUGGAUGGCUAGAGUAUGGGAGAGGAUGGUAGAAUUCCAGGUGUAGCGGUGAAAUGCGUAGAGAUCUGGAGGAAUACCGAUGGCGAAGGCAGCCAUCUGGCCUAAUACUGACGCUGAGGUACGAAAGCAUGGGGAGCAAACAGGAUUAGAUACCCUGGUAGUCCAUGCCGUAAACGAUGUCUACUAGCCGUUGGGGCCUUUGAGGCUUUAGUGGCGCAGCUAACGCGAUAAGUAGACCGCCUGGGGAGUACGGUCGCAAGACUAAAACUCAAAUGAAUUGACGGGGGCCCGCACAAGCGGUGGAGCAUGUGGUUUAAUUCGAUGCAACGCGAAGAACCUUACCUGGCCUUGACAUACUAGAAACUUUCCAGAGAUGGAUUGGUGCCUUCGGGAAUCUAGAUACAGGUGCUGCAUGGCUGUCGUCAGCUCGUGUCGUGAGAUGUUGGGUUAAGUCCCGCAACGAGCGCAACCCUUUUCCUUACUUGCCAGCAUUUCGGAUGGGAACUUUAAGGAUACUGCCAGUGACAAACUGGAGGAAGGCGGGGACGACGUCAAGUCAUCAUGGCCCUUACGGCCAGGGCUACACACGUGCUACAAUGGUCGGUACAAAGGGUUGCUACCUAGCGAUAGGAUGCUAAUCUCAAAAAGCUCGAUCGUAGUCCGGAUUGGAGUCUGCAACUCGACUCCAUGAAGUCGGAAUCGCUAGUAAUCGCGGAUCAGAAUGCCGCGGUGAAUACGUUUCUCGGGCCUUGUACACACCGCUCGUCACACCAUGGAGUUUGUGCACCAGAAGUAGGUAGUCUAAUUGCAGAGACGCUACUACGUGUGCCGAUGACUGGGGGUGAGUCUACAAACAAGAGAGAAACCAAA